UACGAAGGGGGCUAGCGUUGCUCGGAAUUACUGGGCGUAAAGGGAGCGUAGGCGGACAUUUAAGUCAGAGGUGAAAACCCGGAGCUUAACUUCGGAACUGCCUUUGAUACUGGAUGUCUUGAGUGUGAGAGAGGUAUGUGGAACUCCGAGUGUAGAGGUGAAAUUCGUAGAUAUUCGGAAGAACACCAGUGGCGAAGGCGACAUACUGGCUCAUUACUGACGCUGAGGCUCGAAAGCGUGGGGAGCAAACAGG
rnacentral:rRNA from 1 species